rnacentral:rRNA from 1 species
UGGGGAAUAUUGGACAAUGGGCGCAAGCCUGAUCCAGCCAUGCCGCGUGAGUGAUGAAGGCCCUAGGGUUGUAAAACUCUUUCACCGGUGAAGAUAAUGACGGUAACCGGAGAAGAAGCCCCGGCUAACUUCGUGCCAGCAGCCGCGGUAAUACGAAGGGGGCUAGCGUUGUUCGGAUUUACUGGGCGUAAAGCGCACGUAGGCGGACUUUUAAGUCAGGGGUGAAAUCCCGGGGCUCAACCCCGGAACUGCCUUUGAUACUGGAAGUCUUGAGUAUGGUAGAGGUGAGUGGAAUUCCGAGUGUAGAGGUGAAAUUCGUAGAUAUUCGGAGGAACACCAGUGGCGAAGGCGGCUCACUGGACCAUUACUGACGCUGAGGUGCGAAAGCGUGGGGAGCAAACAGG